rnacentral:rRNA from 1 species
UAUAAAGUGGCGAACGGCUGAGUAACACGUGGGCAACCUGCCCUUUGCACUGGGAUAGCCUCGGGAAACCGAGGUUAAUACCGGAUACUCCAUAUUUGUCGCAUGACGAAUAUGGGAAAGCUCCGGCGGCAAAGGAUGGGCCCGCGGCCUGUUAGCUAGUUGGUGGGGUAGUGGCCUACCAAGGCAAUGAUGGGUAGCCGGGUUGAGAGACCGACCGGCCAGAUUGGGACUGAGACACGGCCCAGACUCCUACGGGAGGCAGCAGGC